CCUACGGGUGGCUGCAGUAGGGAAUAUUGGUCAUGGGCGAAAGCCUGAACCAGCCACGCCCCGUGUGCGAUGAAGGCCUUCGGGUUGUAAAGCACUUUUUGAGGGGAUGAGGUAGGACAGUACCCUCAGAAUAAGUCUCGGCUAACUACGUGCCAGCAGCCGCGGUAACACGUCGGAGACAAGCGUUAUUCGGAUUUACUGGGCGUAAAGCGCGUGCAGGGGGUCUGGUAAGUUGGAUGUGAAAGCUCCCGGCUCAACGGGGAGAGGUCGUUCAAUACUGUCAGACUCGAGAGUGGGAGAGGGAGGUGGAAUUCCGGGUGUAGUGGUGAAAUGCGUAGAUAUCCGGAGGAACACCAGUGGCGAAAGCGGCCUCCUGGCCCAUUUCUGACGCUUAGACGCGAAAGCUAGGGUAGCAAACGGGAUUAGAUACCCGGGUAGUC
rnacentral:rRNA from 1 species